GACGGAGGCCCCGAGCGUUAGUCGGAAUUACUGGGCUUAAAGGGUGCGUAGGCGGGCGUGCGCGUGCUCUGUGAAAUCCCCGGGCUCAACCCGGGAACCGCAGGGCAUACGGCACGUCUCGAGGAAGCUAGAGGCCGGCGGAACGAUCGGUGGAGCGGUGGAAUGCGUAGAGAUCGAUCGGAACGCCAAGGGUGAAGACAGCCGGCUGGGGCUUUCCUGACGCUGAGGCACGAAAGCGCGGGGAUCAAACAGG
rnacentral:rRNA from 1 species